rnacentral:lncRNA from 1 species
CACCUUCUCCGGUUCCAAUCAGCCCAGAUCCACCUUCUUCUCCGACUCCGGCUGUUCUCAAACCACCAGCUAGAUCUAAAGAUGCCAGCUUCACCCCGUCCAGUCCUAUUAAAACAGGUAACCCACCAGCUCCACCACCUGUUAAUGGAAAAUGGAGAGAUUUAUUCUCUACAAAUAGACACAUCUCAUCUUGCCCAAAGCUCAUGCAUUUUUCAGCCUUACACGACAUACCAUCCUGCCCUUUCUUAACUGAUGACCUGGACCACUCUUGUGAUGAGUGGAAAUUAUGUGCAAUUGGUUAUGUUUCUGGAAAAUUCCCUGGGUAUAGAGCUUUGACUAGCAUCAUUGAGAAUGUAUGGCACUGUAAAGCCACACUUAGUAUGCAUGAAUCGGGUUGGCUUGUUUAUAAAUUCCAAACUGAAGAAGAUAAGUACUCUGUGUUGUGUGGAGGUCCAUACCUUGUCU